AAUGAACGCCGGCGGCAUGCCUAACACAUGCGAGUCGAACGAAGGCUUCGGCCUUAGUGGCGCACGGGUGCGUAACGCGUGGGAAUCUGCCCUCAGGUUCGGAAUAACAGCGAGAAAUUGCUGCUAAUACCGGAUGAUAUCGCGAGAUCAAAGAUUUAUCGCCUGAGGAUGAGCCCGCGUAGGAUUAGCUAGUUGGUGUGGUAAAGGCGCACCAAGGCGACGAUCCCUAGCUGGUCUGAGAGGAUGAUCAGCCACACUGGGACUGAGACACGGCCCAGACUCCUACGGGAGGCAGCAGUGGGGAAUAUUGGACAAUGGGCGAAAGCCUGAUCCAGCAAUGCCGCGUGAGUGAUGAAGGCCUUAGGGUUGUAAAGCUCUUUUACCCGGGAUGAUAAUGACAGUACCGGGAGAAUAAGCUCCGGCUAACUCCGUGCCAGCCGCCGCCGUAA
rnacentral:rRNA from 1 species